CGAAGGUGCUCCUUGGUUCGGUUGGAUUCAGGCCCUCAGCAAGCCCGAUCCUCCCAGCUCAGGAGCACUUUCCUCUUUCCGGCACCCCAACAGACGAUCACCCCGGUGAAA
rfam:Frankia sp. Cc1.17 contig_39, whole genome shotgun sequence.